AGCGUGGAGACAGGUGGUGCAUGGCUGUCGUCAGCUCGUGUCGUGAGAUGUUGGGUUAAGUCCCGCAACGAGCGCAACACUCACCCCUUGUUGCCACCAGGUCAGGCUGGGCACUCUAGGGGAACUGCCCCGGUCAACGGGGAGGAAGGUGGGGAUGACGUCAAGUCAUCAUGCCCCUUACGUCCUGGGCUACACACGUGCUACAAUGGCCGGUACAAAGGGAUGCAAGACUGCGAGGUGGAGCUAAACCCAAAAAGCCGGCCUAAGUUCAGAUUGGAGUCUGCAACUCGACUCCAUGAAGGAGGAAUCGCUAGUAAUCGCGCAUCAGCACGGCGCGGUGAAUACGUUCCCGGGCCUUGUACACACCGCCCGUCACACCACGAAAGCCAGCUGUACUCGAAGUCGCUGAG
rnacentral:rRNA from 1 species